UACGUAGGGGGCAAGCGUUGUCCGGAAUCAUUGGGCGUAAAGAGCGUGUAGGUUGUUCGAUAAGUCUGCUGUGAAAGUCCAAGGCUCAACCUUGGGAUGCCGGUGGAUACUGUCUGACUAGAGUACGGAAGAGGCGAGUGGAAUUCCUGGUGUAGCGGUGAAAUGCGCAGAUAUCAGGAAGAACACGCGUGGCGAAGGCGGUUCUCUGGGACGGUACUGACGCUGAGACGCGAAAGCGUGGGGAGCGAACAGG
rnacentral:rRNA from 1 species